AGGUGGCACUGCGCGGCCUCGAAUGGCGGCUCCUCGCGGGGUGCGUUUCCUCCUCCGCCUCCGGUGCCGUCACCCCUGCUCCACGCUGUCCUGUCUUUCCGCCCUGCCCCCGCCUCCGCAAUGCGCUUUCUUUCUGUGGUCCCCUUUUGUUGGCAACGUCCCCGGAUGGUGCUCCCCACUCAGCCUGUGGACGCCGCUGAGCUCCCUGGAAACCCCGCUGCUGGAGUGCAAUGGUGUGACCUCGGCUCACUGCAACCUCUGCCUCCCGGGUUCAAGGGAUUCUCCUGCUUCAGCCUCCUGAGUAGCUGGGAUUACAGGUAGGAAACCUGGGGCUGAGAUGGAAUGACCUGCCUGACGGUCCACAGUCAGCAGAUGGGCUCUCACUAUGUUGCCCAGGCUGGUCUUCAGCUUCUGGACUCAAGUGCUCUUCUUGCCUCGGGCUCCCAAAGUGCUGAGAUUACAGGGUAUCAUUCUGCCACCCAGGCUGGAGCGCAAUGGUGUGAUCACAGCUAACUGCAGCCUCGACCUCCUGGGCUCAAGCAAUCCUCCUACCUUGGCCACCCAAAGUGCUGGGAUUACAGGCAUGAGCCACCAUGCCCCACCAGGAUUCAUUUCUUCUGCAUGCUCUGGUGGUGUUUAUUGUAUCUUUAUAUUCUAUUUAGCAAAGCAUGUUAAAAUGCCAUGGUAUAAACACACUCCUACCCUCGCAGUGGAAUGGAGAGGGUCUGUGUGCAUUUACCAUAUUUAAAGUGGUCCCACAGCAAUUUGUCAGCCAUAGCAGGUAACAACUAUACUCAGUUACGUUUGCUCGUCUCCUUCUGAAUAGUUUGUGAGGUUCCUUCAGGUUUGGAACUAUCUUUGAUUGAUCUUUAUGUCUCCAGCACCUAGCACAGUGCUUAGCAACAAGUUUUGUUAAAAUAAAGAAUAUACACUGUAAUAAAGGGCAGUGGAAAGAAAAUAUGUGAGUUAUCCACACCACCAGCUACAGGCCUAGUCUGAUUGCUGUGAAAGAUAUGAUUCAUUUCUCUUAGGAAAAAACAAUUCUUCCCGUACCGCUGUAUAACUUGGCUUCUUGACUUGGGACGGUAUUUGAAGUCUUUGAAGACCUGGAGCGAUGUAUUCUCCCCCUAGGCAGAGUGCCUGGUAAGUGGUCUGGUAUUGAUUAGCAAGUCACCAGUGAGUACUGGGAAGUGGGUUUUCAGGAUCUGAGACUUGCAAGCUGGUGACGGACCGCUCCAGCUUCCAGUGGGCUCUGGGCCCGGGGCGCUGCAACCCACCUGAGCGGUGGGAUCAAGGUCUUCAGCCUUAGUAGGGGGAGCCUCUGCCUGGCCUCCUUCACUCCCGAGCCCUUCACCAGCCUCCUCCCAAGAGGGUCCCCUCCACCCAGAACCUCCUCCCUAGGGGAGAUCCCUCUGUCUGCGGGGCCCCCUCCCAUAGGAGGGCCCCUCUUUCUCAGGGUGAACCUCUGUCCCUGAUACCUGCUCCCAAGACCGAGACCCAGU